UGCACAUAUUCCUGUCUGGCUGUUAGCCAUAAUAGUCUAAUAGGCUAAUUGAGCCACACCCAUUCUGGUGCUCCUUAAGAAGGCCAGAGUUUUAGGCCCCGUUUACACAAGGACGCUUGCGGGUGAAAACGACAAAAUUUUUAUCGGAAGUGCCUUUCGUUUAGACGGUGACAGCGUUUUUGGGGCAUGAAAACGCAUAAAUCUGAAACCACCCUCCAGGGUGGAAAAGUUGAAUACGCUCCGCCUUAGCGUUUCCGUCUAAACGGCCAAGACGCAAAACACUGCUCAGAUCUGCUCACGUUGCAUACGCUUUUACGUCACAUACAUGUGCCAGUACAACAAACAUGUCAGAUUAUUUCCAUGCAUCGGACCUUCAAGCUGCUCUGGCAGCUCUAACAAGCAUACAGGAGUUUUUCCACGAAAUGUACAGGAUAUUUACAGAUAGUAUUACUGAACAGAGAAGGAUCUUUUUGGUUUUUGGCGACACGGAUAAGAGAAGGAAGAUUCUACGCAUGCGUUCAGACAUGGCUCAGACACUUUUGCGUCACCGUAUGCACGCAGAUUUCCUCUCCUCAAAACGCGGAAUAAAAAGUGAAGACUCAACGCCACUUUUGCGUCUUCUGUUCAGACAGUCAUCGUGUAAACGUAGCCUUAGAAUUGAGGGAGGCUUGAGUUGUGCAAGUGACUCGACGGUUGUGCUAUGUGUUAAGUAAAAAUAUGCUUUUUAACAACAACCAUGUGCGUCGAGGAAACUCUUUUUCCCACAGCCAAUGUUGAAGUGCGUGUGAUGCAGUGUCUGCUGUCCAAUGUAUGUCGUCAUGAGUUGUGUGAAAUUCAGAAUGGUGUAUUUCGAAAAGUGUGUAUUUUAUAGUGAUGAAUGAAUUAAGGCGUGUUAAUAGGGUCUGAUGUGGUGCAGAUAAAUUACGUGAGAAAUUAAUGAGGGUUGUUUAUGCCAACCGAUAAAACAAUGAGUUUGGUGUCCGGUCUUACUUUUGGGAUACGGGCUGAAUUCGAAUCGCCCAUGAUGUUUAUGGAUUUUCUAAUCGGGAGGGACCACAUAGUGGCUUUGCGAUUCGUGUAGGGGUGUAUGCGGGGCUGGUGAUAAGAAGAACUGAGUAGUGAGGAAGAGGAGGGGGAAGGAGAAGAUGGAGCCUGGUGACUCGGAUCUUCCCUUGCUAGGGCAGGUGUAACAUCCGCAGGAGUGAUCGGAGGAGGCGUGGGAGGGCAAGGGUGAAUUCAGCGCAAAAGGUGAAUGGGUUUGCCUCUUCUCUUCCUAACCCUAACCCUUUUCUUUUCUUCCUGCUAUUGUUUUUAGAGUGUUUAAGAUGUUUUUUAAUAUGCCCUGAAAUCUGAUUUGUAGCUGUGGAACACUGCCGUCUGUCUGAAUGUCACCCAGUGUUUUGAUGAAAUAAAUGAAUCAAAUAAUAGCAAAGUAAUGCAUAUUUAUUACAUUUUAAGUAUUAAAACAAAACUUCUUGGCCUUGUUUAUUUUGUCUGAAAUAGAAUGGCUAAAAUGUUAACUGAGAGAAAACCCUCAUAUCUUUACAUUAUAAAGAUUCUUAACCUUUAAUAACAACAAAGAACCACCUUUUCAGCGUCCCUAGGGGUCAUCUCAUGGCUUAAAAACAUCCAAAUCCUGGAGAAUUUAAGUCCAAUGUCCCUUUUUUUUUUUGUCUUAAACACAGUGUACAUGUCUAGGAGUGGUAAUUUCAAUGUGUUUGAACAUGUGUGAGAAGGUGAAAUCCUUCCCCUUCUCAGUCUUGCAUUAGAGAAAUUAUUAUUAUAUUGUGUGUAUGUGUGUGUGUAUAUAUAUAUAUAUAUUAGAGCUGUCAGUUAAACGUGUUAUUAACGGCGUUAACACAAACCAAUUUUAAC
ensembl:lncRNA